UGGAAGUUGGCCAGAAUUUGCACGCAUUUCUGGAACUCAGGGGAUGCAGAAUAGAGGAGCAGGUUUUUGCUCUCUUUGCUCUCAUCAGCACUUUGGUCUGUGUGUGGUUUCCCCAUUGCUGUUAGCUCCAGGCAUUUUGGAAGUUUUAUUCCUCCUGCAAGGCAGAGUGGGAAGAGCUGACAAGGCACUGAAGUCAUGCUCCAUGGGCUGAAAAAAAGAUGUGGCUCACACCCACAUGUGACAGCUGCUGGAAACUGGAUAGCUGAGGUCCCCAUGGAAACUUCCAAGACAACUAUGAUGGUGGCCACUGGACUUUUGUCAAAAUUCACAUCCUUCUGUUUGUCAAACACCUGGACUGGUCUUGGCAUUGCAUCUUUUCCGUGGAGGUUGCUUUCCACUCCAAGUUACCUGGAUCACUUUGUA
rnacentral:lncRNA from 1 species